UACGUAGGGCGCAAGCGUUGUCCGGAAUUAUUGGGCGUAAAGAGCUCGUAGGCGGCUUGUCACGUCGGAUGUGAAAGCCCGGGGCUUAACCCCGGGUCUGCAUUCGAUACGGGCUAGCUAGAGUGUGGUAGGGGAGAUCGGAAUUCCUGGUGUAGCGGUGAAAUGCGCAGAUAUCAGGAGGAACCCCGGGGGCGAAGGCGGAUCUCUGGGCCAUUACUGACGCUGAGGAGCGAAAGCGUGGGGAGCGAACAGG
rnacentral:rRNA from 1 species